GGACGUAUAGCUCAGUGGUAGAGCUUUCGGCUGCAGUCCGAAGGGUCGUUGGUUCAAAUCCGACUGCGUCCU